rfam:Novosphingobium sp. B1 genome assembly, contig: Ga0157230_101
CCGGACGCCAACCGGGUCCGGUGGGACACAUGAGAGCGCCGGCUCUCUCCGGCGCAUCUCAUGCCCAAAUUGCUCAAUUUGGAGGAUUUGGAAAUGAGAA